UGCUCAGCAAUUCCUAUCCCUACCUCCUCGCGGUACUGGCCGGGGUAGGCAUAACCUUAGGGAAGAUCGGAUAACCAACCCCGGUGGGAACUUUGGUCGUAUGCUGACAGGGUAGG
rnacentral:ribozyme from 1 species